UACGUAGGUCGCAAGCGUUGUCCGGAUUUACUGGGCGUAAAGGGCGCGCAGGCGGCUCAUUUUGUCAGGCGUGAAAGCCCCGGGCUUAACCUGGGAACUGCGUUUGAUACGGAUGGGCUAGAGUUCGGGAGAGGAGAGUGGAAUUCCCAGUGUAGAGGUGAAAUUCGUAGAUAUUAGGAAGAACACCAGUGGCGAAGGCGGCUCACUGGCCCGGUACUGACGCUGAGGCGCGAAAGCGUGGGGAGCAAACAGG
rnacentral:rRNA from 1 species